CAGUCGCCGCGGGAAUACGGAGGGGGCUAGCGCUGUUCGGAAUUACUGGGCGUAAAGCGCACGUAGGCGGCUUGGUAAGUUAGAGGUGAAAGCCCGGAGCUCAACUCCGGAAUUGCCUUUAAGACUGCCGAGCUAGUAGGUGAGAGAGGUAAGUGGAAUUCCGAGUGUAGAGGUGAAAUUCGUAGAUAUUCGGAAGAACACCAGUGGCGAAGGAGGCAACCUGGCUCAUUACUGACGCUGAGGCGCGAAAGCGUGGGGAGCAAACAGGAUUAGAUACCCCCGUAUCCCUGUCUCUUAUACA
rnacentral:rRNA from 1 species